rnacentral:rRNA from 1 species
UACGGAGGAUCCGAGCGUUAUCCGGAUUUAUUGGGUUUAAAGGGUGCGCAGGCGGGAGAUUAAGUCGGCGGUGAAAUUUUGCAGCUUAACUGUAAAAGUGCCAUCGAUACUGGUUUCCUUGAGUGUAGAUGAAGUAGGCGGAAUUUGUGGUGUAGCGGUGAAAUGCAUAGAUAUCACGAGGAACUCCGAUUGCGCAGGCAGCUUACUAAACUACUACUGACGCUCAGGCACGAAGGCGUGGGGAUCAAACAGGAUUAGAUACCCUGGUA